rnacentral:rRNA from 1 species
UACGUAGGGUGCGAGCGUUAAUCGGAAUUACUGGGCGUAAAGCGUGCGCAGGCGGUUUUGUAAGCCAGAUGUGAAAGCCCCGGGCUUAACCUGGGAAUGGCAUUUGGGACUGCAAGGCUGGAGUGUGGCAGAGGAGACUGGAAUUCCUGGUGUAGCAGUGAAAUGCGUAGAUAUCAGGAGGAAUACCGAUGGCGAAGGCAGGUCUCUGGGCUGACACUGACGCUCAUGCACGAAAGCGUAGGGAGCAAACAGG